GUACGCUAAACCAUUGUUUCUCAAUCUUUUUAGUGUCACGACCCCAAAAUAGGUAUAAAAUAUGAUCAAUCGCUUCGCGACCCUCCCCCCUCUCCAUCUAUAUAUGGUAAAAAUUUGAUUUCAAUUUAUAUUUUGUAAAUUAGCGUUUUAUUAUUUUUGACCUACGCGAUCCCAAUUCAAGGUGUUCGCGACCCCCUGGUUGAGAAACGCUGCGCUAAGCUAUUCAACUAUUCCGUAUUAUGUUGUUGUGUUAAUUCAAAAAUUUAAUUUUUUCGUGACACGUGUAUACAUUAUUUUUUUCAAUAUGGACAAAAAUGUCUUAAAAAAAAAAAAAAUGGGUAGUGCAACAAAAAACCGCCAUGCUUAAAAAAUUAAGUUACUGCAAAACGCUCAGGGAUCGAAAACAAUUUACGAUAUGUUCAAUAAACAGACGAAACUUGAAACAAAUGAUCGCGAUAAUAGAUCUAUUGAUUUGAAUAUUGGAUAACCAGAUUCAUUUAUAAAUGAAGAUGAUACAAUGGACAAUAUGGUAUGAAUUUUUUAUGGAUGUAGUGCUUAGAUCAGCAGUUGAUGUUUCUAUUCCUACUAUUGAAAAACAACCCAAGUGUGAAAAAAGUUUCAAAAAUUAAAAAAAAGAUAUCCUUUUAUAAAUUAAUCAUAUUUUUGUUAAUCAAUAAAAAGUUUACAUUUUACAGAGUUUUAAUUUGUACUUGUUAUUUUUUUAUAAAAUAUCUGCUACUUUUUAUUUGCAAAUCGUGUUGUUUACCUAGGUAAUAAAAAGGUUGGUAACA